rnacentral:rRNA from 1 species
AUUGAACGCUGGCGGCAUGCCCUACACAUGCAAGUCGAACGGUAACAGGUCUUCGGAUGCUGACGAGUGGCGAACGGGUGAGUAAUACAUCGGAACGUGCCUAGUAGUGGGGGAUAACUACUCGAAAGAGUGGCUAAUACCGCAUGAGAUCUACGGAUGAAAGCAGGGGGUCGCAAGACCUUGUGCUAUUAGAGCGGCCGAUGGCAGAUUAGGUAGUUGGUGGGAUAAAAGCUUACCAAGCCGACGAUCUGUAGCUGGUCUGAGAGGACGAUCAGCCACACUGGGACUGAGACACGGCCCAGACUCCUACGGGAGGCAGCAGUGGGGAAUUUUGGACAAUGGGCGCAAGCCUGAUCCAGCAAUGCCGCGUGCAGGAUGAAGGCCUUCGGGUUGUAAACUGCUUUUGUACGGAACGAAAAGCCCUGGGUUAAUACCCUGGGGUCAUGACGGUACCGUAAGAAUAAGCACCGGCUAACUACGUGCCAGCCGCCGCGGUAACAC